GACGAACGCUGGCGGCGUGCUUAACACAUGCAAGUCGAACGGAAAGGCCCUGCUUUUGUGAGGUGCUCGAGUGGCGAACGGGUGAGUAACACGUGAGUAACCUGCCCUUGACUUUGGGAUAACUUCAGGAAACUGGGGCUAAUACCGGAUAGGAGCUCCUGCUGCAUGGUGGGGGUUGGAAAGUUUCGGCGGUUGGGGAUGGACUCGCGGCUUAUCAGCUUGUUGGUGGGGUAGUGGCUUACCAAGGCUUUGACGGGUAGCCGGCCUGAGAGGGUGACCGGCCACAUUGGGACUGAGAUACGGCCCAGACUGCUACGGGAGGCAGCAGUGGGGAAUAUUGCACAAUGGGCGGAAGCCUGAUGCAGCAACGCCGCGUGCGGGAUGACGGCCUUCGGGUUGUAAACCGCUUUCGCCUGUGACGAAGCGUGAGUGACGGUAAUGGGUAAAGAAGCACCGGCUAACUACGUG
rnacentral:rRNA from 1 species